GCGGGGCGGGGUGAGGCGGGUGUGGACCCGGAGAGGCCGCUGCUGCCCCCGGAGCUCAGGGGAGUGACGGAGGCCGCUGCUGGCCCCUGACCUGAGGUGACUGACAGAGGCUCCUGCUGACCCCUGACCUGAGGGGAGUGACAGAGGCCCCUGCUGACCCCUGACCUGGGGUGACUGACAGAGGCUCCUGCUGACCCCUGACCUGAGGUGAGUGACAGAGGCCCCUGCUGACCCCUGACCUGAGGUGAGUGACAGAGGCCCCUGCUGACCCUUGACCUGGGGUGACUGACAGAGGCUCCUGCUGACCCCUGACCUGAGGUGACUGACAGAGGCCCCUGCUGACCCCUGACCUGGGGUGACUGACAGAGGCUCCUGCUGCCCCCUGACCUGGGGUGACUGACAGAGGCUCCUGCUGCCCCCUGACCUGGGGUGACUGACAGAGGCCCCUGCUGCCCCCUGACCUGAGGUGACAGAGGCCCCUGCUGGCCCCUGACCUGAGGUGACUGAUCCUGAUCAAGGCGUUGAGAUCCAGGAUUCAUUACUAGUGACCUCUGACCUGGGGCUACGGAUGACCUCCGACGUGAGGUCGUGACGUGAGUGACGUAGGCGUGGUGACGCACGAUCGGCGACCAGUGACCUUCGACGUGAGGUCAGAAGGCGGACGGUCCGCUCGGCGCGGGCCCAGGCGCCUGCGGGGCAGGAGGGCGGAGAAGCCGCGGCGGGGCCGGGCCUGCUGGCUGCGCUCGCGGCCGUGGAAGACCCUCGGGGCGAGAGGCGGACACGGCAGGGCCUGCUGGGCGCGCUGGGGCGGUGCACCGGAAGAAGGGCCAGCUUAUCAAACAGAGUGAACGACAUGAUGAUUUUCACAGCUGUCACGGACUCUUCACCGGUUUCCAGGCAUCCUUGGCGUGUGACCACCGUGGACGCAGCCUAGCACGCUGGGCACUGAGGGCAGCACAUGAAGGGUCACUGAUCAGGCUUAAAGUACAAGAGCUGAUGCAGUCUGUCCAGUUUUGUCUGGUUUUGGAGCAUCAUCUUUGGAGGGAACGUCAAACAGUUCUUUGGAAAUUCUGA
rnacentral:lncRNA from 1 species